rnacentral:sRNA from 1 species
GCCGGGCACAGGGGUGCGUGCCUGUAAUCCCAGCAGCUCAGGAGGCUGAGGCAGGAGGAUAGAGAGUUCAAAGCCAGCCUCAGCAAAAGUGAAGCGCUAAGCAACUCAGUGAGACCCUGUCUCUA